CCUACGGGAGGCAGCAGUGGGGGAUAUUGCACAAUGGGGGGAACCCUGAUGCAGCGACGCCGCGUGGGUGAAGAAGCGCCUCGGCGCGUAAAGCCCUGUCAUCAGGGAAGAAAAUGACGGUGAGUGAAGAAGAAGCCCCGGCUAAAUACGUGCCAGCAGACGCGGUAAUUAGUAGGGGGCAAGCGUUGUCCGGAUUUACUGGGUGUGAAGGGGGCGCAGACGGCGAUGCAGGCCAGGAGUGAAAGCCCGGGGGCCAACCCCGAGACCGCUCUUGGAACUGCGUGGCUGGAGUGCAGGAGGGGCAGGCGGAAUUCCUGGUGUAGCGGUGAAAUGCGUAGAUAUCAGGAGGAACACCGGUGGCGAAGGCGGCCCUCUGGACUGCAACUGACGUUGAGGCCCGAAAGCGUGGGGAGCAAACAGGAUUAGAUACCCUGGUAGUC
rnacentral:rRNA from 1 species